rnacentral:rRNA from 1 species
ACUUGACGGUACCUGGCCAGAAAGCCACGGCUAACUACGUGCCAGCAGCCGCGGUAAUACGUAGGUGGCAAGCGUUGUCCGGGAAUUAUUGGGCGUAAAGCGCGCGCAGGCGGCCUUUUAAGUCUGAUGUGAAAGCCCACGGCUCAACCGUGGAGGGUCAUUGGAAACUGGAAGGCUUGAGUGCAGAAGAGAAGAGCGGAAUUCCACGUGUAGCGGUGAAAUGCGUAGAGAUGUGGAGGAACACCAGUGGCGAAGGCGGCUCUUUGGUCUGUAACUGACGCUGAGGCGCGAAAGCGUGGGGAGCGAACAGGAUUAGAUACCCUGGUAGUCCACGCCGUAAACGAUGAGUGCUAAGUGUUGGGGGGUUUCCGCCCCUCAGUGCUGCAGCUAACGCAUUAAGCACUCCGCCUGGGGAGUACGGCCGCAAGGCUGAAACUCAAAGGAAUUGACGGGGGCCCGCACAAGCGGUGGAGCAUGUGGUUUAAUUCGAAGCAACGCGAAGAACCUUACCAGGUCUUGACAUCCCGCUGACCGGUCUGGAGACAGAUCUUCCCCUUCGGGGGCAGCGGUGACAGGUGGUGCAUGGUUGUCGUCAGCUCGUGUCGUGAGAUGUUGGGUUAAGUCCCGCAACGAGCGCAACCCUUGAUCUUAGUUGCCAGCAUUUAGUUGGGCACUCUAAGGUGACUGCCGGUGACAAACCGGAGGAAGGUGGGGAUGACGUCAAAUCAUCAUGCCCCUUAUGACCUGGGCUACACACGUGCUACAAUGGAUGGUACAAAGGGCUGCAAGACCGCGAGGUUUAGCCAAUCCCAUAAAACCAUUCUCAGUUCGGAUUGCAGGCUGCAACUCGCCUGCAUGAAGCUGGAAUCGCUAGUAAUCGCGGAUCAGCAUGCCGCGGUGAAUACGUUCCCGGGCCUUGUACACACCGCCCGUCACACCACGAGAGUUUGCAACACCCGAAGUCGGUGGGGUAACCCUUACGGGAGCCAGCCGCCAUCCA